GUUUUAAUAGUUUAAAAAAAAACAUUGAUCUUGUAAAUCAAAAUUAGUUUUACUUUAAAACU
rnacentral:tRNA from 1 species